rnacentral:rRNA from 1 species
UCCUACGGGGGGCAGCAGUGAGGAAUAUUGGUCAAUGGUCGGGAGACUGAACCAGCCAAGCCGCGUGAGGGAUGAAGGUACAGAGUAUCGUAAACCUCUUUUGUCAGGGAACAAAGGCGGGGACGUGUCCCCGGAUGAGUGUACCUGAAGAAAAAGCAUCGGCUAACUCCGUGCCAGCAGCCGCGGUAAUACGGAGGAUGCGAGCGUUAUCCGGAUUUAUUGGGUUUAAAGGGUGCGCAGGCGGUCUGUUAAGUCAGCGGUCAAAGCCCGGGGCUCAACCCCGGCCCGCCGUUGAAAAUGGCAGU